UUUGGGGUUUUUUUAGUUUUGGAGCUCUUGUGUCAAGUUUAUAUGCUGGCAAAGGCAGGAAACCAUUGUGUACAAUAUGGCAAACAGAGCGAGCAGACAGCCAGGCCAAAGGGCUAUAAAUUAUUAUUUUAAUUUCUUGGUUUAUGGUUUCUCAUUGACUCCAGAUCAAUAGGAAAAAGGUGCAUUGAGCCACUUCUUUUAAUUAAAGGGCUGCUGUGAUUAGGCUUCAGUGAGGGAUGGAGACAAGUGUGAAAAAGAUGUGCCUGGAAGCAGCUGCUGGCUCCCAGUGCAGGGUGUACUGGCUCCCAGUGCGGGAGGUGCUGGUUCCCAGUGCAGGAGGUGCUGGUUUUCCCUUUGCCGGGUUAGUUGCUUGUGUUUUCUGGAGCUGCAGCCCAACUGUGGUACAGACGCUCCCCCCAGUUUCCUCCCAGCCUGUUCUGUGUUUCCAUUCUCACAUCCUAAGCCAGGGGACCUUGUUUCCCGUUGAACAAAAAAGCAGCGUUUUUUGGUGGAAUCUUCUGCUUAUUUCAAAACAAUUCCAAUUUCAUUUUGCCAUAUACUCAGGACACUUUCCCUGUGGUGCUGAGAAAUCAUUAGCAUUUUGCACCUAACAGGUGCAGGGAGAUUUUUCUUUCCGAAGGAUUUCCAGAGCGAAUUGCACAUCUGUAACAAAGCUUGUAUUUUUCUGCUCAUCGCCCUCAGACAUGACCAUAAUUAAAUGCAGAUAUUAAAACUGAAGCCUAGUUUAUGUUCCAUAAUUCUUAGGAGAAUGACCCAUCCUAUGAUACUUGUUUGAAGUCUUCGUUAACCUUUAAUCAUUUGAUGCUGAGUCUGGCUUUGAUUUUGCUGCAGGAAAAAAAAAAAAAAGUGUAUUUUGCAAAAUCUUCAGAGAGGAAAUAUGCCAAUCCUGCGGCAUUUCUCAUUGUGCUGGGAAUGUAACGUUUGAAAUCUCUUAGGUGAUAAAGCCUGUGGAAUGAAGGCUUUUUCUGUUUCCAUACUCGGGCUCUGCCUCUUCUAAGGCCGGUAUCCAGCACCGGAAUCAUAACUUUGAUGCUGCUGGAGCUGGUACAUGUGAUGGAGCCCGGGACAGCUCGAUGCAGGUCUCAAAUGCAGAAUUUCCUCAAUACUAAGCUAUGCUGAGGAGAUACUUGAGGAAACACAGGUGUUCAGAAAAGCAGAACUAGAAAUGUGAACUCUUCAGCACAUUCCGUGAUAAAAUCAGAGCCGAGAGCUCUCAGCAACAUGCCUGUUUGGUUUUGCCAUGCGGGAGGUGGUGGUGACCUGGGCUGAGCCCUCAGAUAAGGCAGUGAGGUGCAGAGUCCCCCUGCCUGCUCCCACUGCAUGCCCAGGGCGGGGACUCAUCACGUGAAAAAUCCACUUUGCACGGCGGGUUUGGCUCCGUGCCGGGGAGCCGGGCGGCCCGUCGGAGGUGGAAUCCUGGGCUGUUGUUCUGAUGCUUGUACAAGCUGUUUCCUUCUCCAAAGAAUGAGAAACAAACCCCCUGAGCUCCAGCCAAAACCUAAUAACUGCUGGUAAGUGGCUUGUCAGCAGGGCCGGGGACAGGCGAUGGUGCAAGUGAAACGGUGGCUCGUGGAGCGACAGACGUGCUGGAAACCUCGUCCCCUCCUCAUGCAAGAGGCUGAACCCAGCUGUGCUGUGGAGCAGGUUUGCAGGUGCUCAUCACUGACCUGGGUGCUCAGUUUUCAUGCUCAGCUCCUGGGGCUCAAGCUGAAACCCUGCCUGGAGGCUUGGAGUUCUGCUUUGGACUGAAGCUCAUUGUUGGCGUCCAGUGCUGGGGCACCCGUAGGGCAGAAGUGAAGGCUGGACUUCUGACUGCAGCUUAGGCUGGACUUCUGACUGCAGUGUGUGACCGGAGAGUGUCUCCGUUCUGGGGUGCCGCGCGUGUCCCCUUGGCACCCCAGCUGGCAGCGGUCCCACCCGAGGAUGCGUCCCACAGCAGCUGGAGCUGUGCUGCCUGCAGGAGCCCUUCUCCAGGACAUCUUGAGGCUGAUUGCAGAGGUCAGGACUCAACUGGAAAGACCGCAGCGGGUUGCUGACUGGCAUCCACAGUCCAGAUAAGAUAAAAACAACUGAUGACAGCAGGGAAGUGAAACAGUCAUCUCAGCACUUGGAUUAGUGCCCAGCAAAGAGGAAGGGAAAAAAAAAAAAUGAAGAGGGCCGGUAGGGAGGGGAAGGGGUGGAAUAUAUAUUAGAAUAGAAACUCUGGAAAAAGCUAUCAGGAGGCAGCAGAUUUGGGUGUUAAAUAUUUAUGAAUUAGCAGCACUUGUCGCUUUCUCUCUGAGCCACGAGUUUCCAGGACAGGCUGCAAACCCAUCACCAUGUCCUGGCAAAUGGAGUUGUGGUGGGAAGAGCAAAGGCACAGAGUGGCGGUGGCAGCGGGAGGGAAGGUGACCGGCUCCAGCGGGUCUGGCGGCACCAAGACUCGCAGCAGUGCAGGAUAAAUCCAGAUGAAGAGGAGGAAGGAUAAAUGAGGUGCCAUAAAAGUGACUAUUAUUAUUCAGAAAAUUCUGCUGAAGAGCAUCGGAGUAAUUAAAUCAUAAUUGCUUAUUACUCAGCUGAAGUGACAUUGUAAGUGGCUGAAGAUCUGUGACGAGGAGGGGAAGGGAAAGUCUUGGUUUUUUUGCUGUGCUCCAGGUUCGUCUCCAUCACUGUGCAUCCCUGUGGCACAAGUAGAAACCCCAGCUCAUGGUGAAGGUCAAAAGGCCCCAGGUGAGCCCAUAAAGCUCAUUUGCAGCAUGGCACCCGAACAGAGCCCCCCGUGAAUGUUGCAUUAUCAGCUGCUAUGGGACAGGGAGCUGGGAGCAGCUUCACCUCCUGGGGCCAGAGAUGCCCAAGCACUGUUGGGCUGACCCAGGCCAGGUUGGUGUUUGUUCCUGGAGAUGAGCACCUUUGGGUCAGUCUGACCCCCUAAACUCUGACAGCAUUAAGAGAGCCAUUCCCUGCCCCGAAACAAAGAACCUGCAAAUCCUGUAAGCACUUAACUACACAGAGAUGUUUAUGGAACAUUUUAAAGGGCUCAUGUGAUCUGGCAGCACGGAGGAGACGUGGUGUUGAGGUUUGGAAGCGUGAGCUUUCCCAGCUUCCUGGCUUUCCUUUCGCCAGCCAGGAUGGGAUGAUAAACUGUAUUUUCAACUUUAGGUAACGUGUUCCAAAUUUUGGUGGAGUUUCCUCAUUCUUGUUUCAAAGUCAUUCUGUGUUUCACAUUCUGAAAGGAGGUCAUUUGCCGCAUAAGUACAGCUGAACAUCUCUCCUUUUUUUUUUUUUUCACCCCUUUUUGCUGUGUCCCUUCCUACCUUCCCUCCUUCACGCUGCCUUGGGCAGGGAGAGCUGCCCGUUCACUCCCCAUGUCCCCCCCUCCCCAGGGAGCAUCCAUGCUGGAGAAUGAAGGACCAAACCAUGGCUGCAUCCCGCUGCGAUGGCACGGCUCUGCUCAGCAUGUCCAGCUGGCACAACAAGGUCUGAGGUUCAGCACUGAGAACUGGGCAUGUUUGCUGGGAAAAAUGCUGGAAAUGAUGGAAAAGAGCAUCCAUUCUGUGGCGGUCUCCAGGAUAACCCCGUGUUCGCUGUGCCACGUGCUCGCGGGAAGUGUCAUUCUCCAGCGCUUCAAGGAGCAGAGAAGCGAGUUACAUUUCCACCAGGCGUAUUUAUUUUUAUUUUUUAAAUAGCUGUAAAAUGAGUCACCUGGCACGGCGGCAGAACGCAGCCCACCAACAAGGAGCACAUCGUGGAGCUGCCAGGGAAUCUGCUGCCAAUAAAGCACUCGUGGCUUCAGACAGCCGCUUGUUUUGGGGCUGGCGGGAGCCAGCUGGGAGGCGAGAACGCAGCGGUGCCAGCGCCGACCCCUUUGCCGGGACCCGUCGCGCUCGCUGCCCGCCCCUGUUUUGUCUAAUUACACGGGGCUAACGGGGAGAGCACAAAAGUUGCCCCCCCGCCUCUGCAGGGAGAGCCUGGCCAGGAGACACCAGGGAACUUGUGCUCUAUAAAAAUAUAUAUAUUUUUUUUCUUCUUGCAGCAAAGGCUUCCCUAAAUGAGAAUCACCUGUGGGUUUCUUCCCAUCCUGAUGCACAACCCAAAAGCUUCAUCCCAUUCCCUGUGUCCAGGGGCAGUGGACACAGCAUCACCCGGAGCAGCUGGAUGCCCCUGGCUUUGGAGCAGCCUUGGCAGGGGUUAAACAGCUGAAGGAGAGAGAAAAGGGCUCUAGUGAUGCAAACAAUAAAAAGUCUCCACAUUCCACUGAAGUUUCUUGAGCAACUGGCAUUUGCCCAUAAAUGUACUUAAGCAGAAAAUCACCAGAAAAGUGCUAUAAUCUGACAGAUUUUUCACAGGCUUAAAUAUUCAUGAAUUAAAAGAAUUGGCAGUAUUUUCUACAUUAUUAGCUUUCAUCAUGGCUACAGGAGCAGUUGGUGCACUGGCUGCUCUUCAAAAACUAUUAAUCUAGUCUGUCAUCACAGCAGCCAUUUUUUAAUUAGCUACUUUACUGAACGAUCUGGUGCAGUAGUGAGACUGGAACAUUUAAAUGGUAUUAAAGUUUUAAAGGUGCCCCUUUCCAUUUUUAAACAAAGUUCUGAAACACAGCGAUAGGGAAACAAAUGCAGCAGCAGGCUACUUCAUUUCAAUGGUUAACUUCUUAUUUAUUUUGGAAAAAAAUCAGGUCUUGGAAAAUUGAGCCCCUUCUACUAGGAGAAGAAAUUGCAAGAAUUAAAUUGUUCUUUAAACUGAAGUUCCCAACAUUCCAGCCUGAUGAAAUCAAACUGAGAUGCUUGUAGCCGAAAUACCAUGUGCAGAGGCACUAACAGGACGUGGCAACGUCCUGAAGUUGGUUUUUGGUCCCGGGGUAUUUGAGCACAGUGGUGUAAAUCGUCCCCCGGCCACACAAGACCCUCUGCUGCAUCCCAGCACAGCCCUGCACGCCUGCGGGAGCAUCUCCUGGGCAGGGGAAACAUGAGGGCCCCCCUGUCACAUUGGCUUUUACCACAACAUCGAUUUGAGCUUUUUUCUUGUACAGGAGUUGUUAAGCAUUUUGCAGUGUGCAACUCAGAGCUCUGGCAGGUUUGAAGUGUCUUCUUCCAAAAAGCAAGGGCCCUGCAAUGAGCAUCCAUGAAGGCUGCUCCUGCAUCCAUGGAGGAUGGUCCUGCAUCUGCACAGGAUGGUCCUGCAUCCAUGGAAGCUGCUCCUGCAUCAGUGGAGGAUGGUCCUGCAUCCAUGGAGGCUGCCGUGAAGCACAUCUUCAGCCUCAUCUGGGGAGUAUGUACCGGCUGUGAACUCGGUGCUGCCUUUACCAGGCACUGAAGCUGCAGCAAUGCUGUUGACAUUAAAUCUCUCCAUGGCCCGUGGUCUGCCCUUGCUUUGGCUGGUAGGUGAGCUGGAUUUAUAAUUGGCCUUUUAUUUUGGAUUUACCAACCCCAUGAUCAUUGCACAUGUGAGCUCUGAGCUGCUCUGGAGGAAGCUGCUCCAGGGUGGGCACACCAGCCGAAAUGUCCGCUGGAAACAUCUCCUGACCUGUGCGGUGCUGCAGAGCUGGGGUUCAGCAAGAGGCAUGGAGGGUGGGACAAGCCCCUCUGUCCCCAGCCGUCCCCAUCCCCGGGUGCUCCCUGGCUGGCGGUGCUGGGGAGCACACCGAGAGGUGCUCGCUGGCCUGGAGUGGGCACAGUUGGGGUCAGACCCGGCAGCAAGGGGUCGGCUACAGCCCCUGAGCACCACGGCCUACGUGCCACAUCCAAGCUUUGCUCUAACUCAACUUCAUCAGCCAUGCACUUGGCUCUGCCUAUUUUGAACCCUGCUUUGUCGUCUGUGCCAGAAAUGCUGCUCUCCUGCUUAUUAUUUGCAUGUGAAAACACAGAAAAAUUAUGUCUUCAUGGUGGUUUUAAAUGUGCCUUUUUUGGCAUCAAGUGGCUACUUCUCCGAUCUCCGCUGCUUGUUAUUGCCAGAGCCCUAAUUUGUGCAUUAUAGUGCCAGUGUCCUGCUGACCAGGGAAGGGAGUUGCUGUAUGUUCAAGAUUUUUUCCCCUAUUGUCAUGUAAAGCAACGAGCGUAAAGAAAUUGGCAGCUAAACUGCCAAUGCUGCAGCUAUAACCUUUCAAGAAGUUGCUCUUUGUCAGCCCUUCUACCAUGAGAAGUCAUUUUAAAGCAGGUUUUUCUUCUACUUGAUAUCGUACUUACUGUCUGCAAGGACCCAGACAGGCUCUGGCAGGUCACCAAAGGGGAUAUAUUAAAAGGCACACACACAAACCGCUGCCUCUUUCCACCCUGUUCACAGCUCCAGCUGAAACACCGUGUGAGCCCCCUGAGCCUGCAAAGCACUGAGCUUCUGGGGUUUUUUUGAUGAUGUGGAAUAGGGAAAGUGUAAAAGUCAGGGGGUUCAGCUCGGGGUUAAUGCUGUCUGGGAAACUUUUUUUUUUUGAAAGUGUAUUUGCACAGGUUAAGUAUUUUGGUAGUGAACAGGCACAACUUGAUCCUCUGUGAACCUCAAACCAUGCACCCUGAUUCUUGAGAACAAGGGGAAAAAAACCGCUCUAUAACUUCAAGGGAGGAAGAAUCGGGAAAUAUACUCCCAGAAAAUCUCUUCUUGACAGUGAGUGGUUUUUUUUUGGAGUUCCCUCGGUUUGUUUGCGUUUGUGGUUUUGCUUGUUCCAUGGUGAAGUUUUCUGCCCGUUGCUGUGGGGCGGUCGCGCAUCCCCCGAGGAGAUCCGGAGCCGGCAAUGUGGCAGUCGAUGGCUCUUUAGCACCUUUUGUCUCCACUGUCCCUGUCCCCACUUACACACCCAAGCUGGUGCCAGGGUGACAGUCACACCCCCCGGGGACUCCUCACCGUCAUCUCCCCCGGCUGGGGGGAGCAGGGGGGGCGGGACCCCCGGUCAAUAGAGAGUCUUCAACAGAGGAGGUGCCCGGAGAAGCUGAGAAGUUUCUGGACGAUGCUCUAAUGACCACAAGCCAGAUCCGACCAGGGUGGAAAACGGGCCCCCCCCGACCUCCCCCUGGAGGGGUCUGGGAGCAGCGGGGCUGCCACAGGAACUCCCCGGGAUCGGGAUCCGUCGGAGGAGACCCCCCCGGAUAGAGCCCUCGCCUCCUCUUUGGAACUCCACUGCAGAAACAAGCAUGGAAGCCGACAUAAUUAAAGGCUUCUUUUUCCCCAGCCGUGGUCCUCUGGUCUUUGAAGAGCUCGGGGAUCCCUGAGGAAUGCUCUGAACUCGGCAAUAUUUUGAUAGCUGCAAUAACAUAAUCAAAAGAUGCUUUCAUGAAGAGAGCACCUUGUGCGAAUUGAGGCCGCCCCCUCUCCCCCCGCCGAUCGCCGAUUUAAUGGGGUCCAGAGCUGGAGCGCAGAUGGGGAGAUGUAUUUUCUGUCUGUGCUUCUCCAGGGAUGCUGCCUGGUGCGAUGCUCAAGUGCUUUUUUGAAAAAGGAUGGCUUUUCCUUCCAAAUGUUUCCAGUCACCGCUGUGUGAAGAGCUGCUGCCAGAUGCGUUGAGCCUCCAAGGCAGCGUCCACAAAACACCGCGGUAAGGCCGGGGAAGAUCGUAUGGUAAAUGUCGAUGUGUUAACAGCAGCCACAACAUUCUAUUCCUGUCCGGAUCGGGAUAAACGGUGAAGCCGGCUCUGUGGGAUGCGGUGGAAUAUUUUAAGCAAGAGUCACGUGCAUUGACUUAAAAUUAGAUGUACCCGAAACAAAACCCUUCAUCUGAAAACCCACAAGCCCAAGCCCACCUCAUGACGGCUUUUUGCACCUGGUUUUCAUCUGUAUAAUGGGUCCACCCAGCCCUUGGGGUAGGGAUACCACAAAACCCUGGGAAUGUUUGAUGUUUAGAACCAUUUCCUUGCAGUUUGGACCCCUCUGAGAUGAACUGAACUUUCUAUCAGUUUGGAUUUGCUCUUCUUCUUCUGUGAGACCGCGUCCCUCUGCCAAACCCUUCAGACGUGCGUGAGUCUCGCCAGGUUGCAUGCUAUGUUACAAAUCUGAAAUGGUAUCGCAAAAACUCACCAUUUUUUGCUCCAAACUGUUAAAUGAGCCUGAUUGAGUCAGGAGAAGCUCUUGGUCUCUGCUUGCUGAAGCACUGGGAAUGCACACGUGCUGGAGGUUUCCCUUUCAUCCCGGGUUGUCAGAGGCUCAGAGAUGUGAGCUCUGCCGCACCGCGGCACCAGCUCGGCUGCGUGGCCGCCUUCUCCGCCAGGCCCCUUCUGCUCGCUCCUGUGAAGCUUUAGCAUUUCUCUUUUAUCUCGCACUUGCAAGCUUCAAAGAUGCCGUGAAGCCAAGUUCUACCUUGCUGCAGAUGAGGAUUAACCAGCUCGCGCUUCCCGUACUCGUCCUGCAGAACUGGAAUUGAUUUAUUUUUGUUACAGCAGCAAAUAGACAGCAGUUCCUGGACAGAUGCAAAACCAGGCUUCUCAGAGGCUUUUUAGCAUCCUGGCUGGAAGGGCGACGCCACCAUCUCCAGUUUUUGAUUGCCAAAGUGUAUGCAAAUCAAAGCCCUCUUCCCGCUUUGCCUGCACAGCCUGUUUCCCCAGGAAGGAAGCGACGGGAAGUUUGCAGGAACAGUUCUGUCAGAAAACUCCCCAAAAUCUCCCAGGCCCUGGUGUGUGACCAAGGCUGCUCAACGGAGCUGCUCCUCCAGCGCCGGCACUGGGAGCCGGGGCCGGGACAGGUCUCGGUCAGAAGAUGACUGUUAUUUGCCUUAAAAAACGGUCCCAGCAGCAUCUUGCCGGCUCCUUCCUGGAGGAGGUCGGUCCUGCCCGGGACGGGGGUGAGGACACCCCCAGUAUCUGUCACGGGGAGCUGGGACGAGGGCCAGCGCAGAGGGCAGGGGUGCUCAGAGGGGACGCUGUGACUGUGAGUGGUGGCAUGGUGACAGUUGUCCCAUCGCAGAUAAGCGAGAGAAAGCCACAGCUUCACGAGAUGACAACGCUCGUGUUUCUUGAUUCACAAGCCAGAGCUGUCAAUUAGCAGACGGAGCAUCGACUCCAACCGCCGUCCCCAGAAUAGCAGCAGCCAAGUGUUGAAGCAUCUAUUAAAUUUAUUUUAAACCACACAAACCGAGACACGUGACUGCUCACGUUAUUGCAGCGUGGCAGGACGCCCUGCUUGGCUUCACCACGGAUUGAUUUUGUCCCUGUGGGCAGUUUUCAAUGGAGUGCAUGGUGGUAGGAGUCAGGCCAAAAGUGUGUUUAACCACAGCUGAUAGCAAGGAGGGGUGUGAGAUACCAGGUACAGUUCCUGGUAUGUGUCCUGGCUUCUCUUCUCUGUGCUGUCCCCCACUGGAUUGCUGACCUGGGACAGCCUCUGAUGGGCACCCACACCGGGAGGUAGGAUUGAGCUGACAGGGAAGCUUUGUGGGCAACACCCGUCUCACCCCUGAACAGGGAUGUCCUGCAGGAGCAUGGGGGGUGUUUUUUGCCAAAACACCGUUUGCUGGGGAGCAUCACCAGCAGCUUUGCCAGCCAGCAGAGCUGGCUGAAGCCUCGCUCCCUUCCUGGGGUUUUAAAGGUUUGGAAGAAGAUUUGCAGAGUUCCGGCAUCACUGGAAAAAUGGGUUCUUGCUCUGGUGCUGCAGCAGGUCCCCGUUGUUAUGACACAUGGGGCGCAAGUCCCUCCGGUCCCUCCCGGUCACUGUCACGCCCUUUUCUCCUCACAAACCUCUAUGGGAGCACUUUGUUCUUAACAUAAUUUCAAUUAUGUUUGAUGAUUAAUUGCUCAACUGCAUGAUCUCAAACAAUGGACUGAAUUGAUUGAAAGCAUGGUAAUUCAUGGGGUGGGGAGAUGCUUUUAACUGUGAUUUUGCAGCAGAUAAUGCUUCUGGUAAAGGAUUACAUGUGGUACCGGGGACGUAAACACGGUGGGUGUGCAGGUAGUGUUCCCAGCCGCGCUCUGGGGUGUGUCUCAAACACCCCUGGGUUUACCUGCUGCCUUUGCCUCUUGCUCGGACCCUGUCCCAGGGCACAGAGCAUCCAAGCAGGGGCGAGGGGCCAGCCAGGGCUUUGCAGAGAUGAACCAUGCACAGAGAGGAUGCCCAGCACCCAAUCAGGGCCUCUGCAGAGAAGGAUGGACACUCUUGUGCUGGUCUGAGCCAUCCUGAGCUCACGCUGGAAUAUUUUCAUGCAAGAAAAUGAAGGUUGGUUGUAAAAGGAUGUGAAUGGCUUUCUGGAAAUGCAUCAACAAAGGCUGAUAAUGUUUUUAUGGUAGUAUUUCUUACUUUAAAAUGUGCAUUUGGAGGAAGAGCAAAGCCAGCUGAACGUUCCUGCAGGAGAGGGGUGAGGACAUCCCAUGGAGCCACUGGCCAGGUGUUGUCCGGGACCCCCUAGCCCACUGGGCUCCCCGUCGCCAUACAGUAUUUUAGAAAGCACCUUUCCUAAGUUAUUGGUUUUUCUCCCUCGCAGGUGGAGAAAUGGAGGGCAGCGCUGCGCAGCCUGCCUGUGAGCCUGGCUCCCCGGGAACGCGCUGGGAGGACAUUGAUUUAUGAUCAAAAGGGAAAAAGCAAAGCAGAAUAAAAAGAAUACUUAAGGCUUAAAAACAGGGAAAUCUCGUUUCUUCCUGUGAGGGUGUUACCUGGGAAUCUUUCAUGUUAAACUUAAAUGGAAUUAAGAAUGAGGGGAAAAUCACCCUGGGACUUGCAUGAUCCUUGUAGCCCUCUAUUAAAAUUAAUCCAGGCAUUGAUCUGUACAAUUUAUUAAUAGCCAGGUGUGGGGAGUGGAGCAGCCGCGGCAGCAGCCCCGGCCCUGGCUCCAGCAUCCCGCUGCAGCGCGGCCCAACGUGUUGUCACCUCGACGCCCGCAGAUUUUAUAAUUGGUCUGAGAGUCGUUACCGUCCCAGCCCUGCAGAACCAAUUAGCCAUCGUCCUCCCUGACCCGGGCCUGCGGUGGCGGGGGGGAACUAAAGACUUAAAACGCAAAACCAAGAGCAAAGACCUAAAUCUUUUUGGCUGCCUGAUUAAUAAUCCUGUCAGGCCUAUCACAGGCACUAAACAGUAAUGCUGGUUGCAGCUGAAUUUUUUAUACUUUCUAUUAAUCUUUAAUGAUAGCUUGGUCACCUAGUCUCUUUUAUCUUGUCAGAUAAAUGUAUGGUUAACAGGAUAAUGAGAUUUCUAAGGCUCUGUUCUAGCUUACAGCCAUGCGGUGCAUGGGGUGACCCCUGCCCCUGCCGGGGGGCGGCGCGGGGGUGACGGUAAUUGCUGGAUGUGCCGUGAAUGUAUUGGGAGCUGAUGGAUGGUUUAAACUUUGAUUUGAGGUCAGGAGGUCCCUCGGCUCUGGAAGGCAACUGUGGUUUUAUUACUUGCAGGAUCUGAUGGGGAUGUAAUUAGAUUUAGCUAUUGCUUUAUUAAUAAGUAAUCGUUCCUACUAUUGCUUUGGGUUAGCAAAUAUAUUCUGCUGAUAAUUUAGGGCAUUGAUAUGGCUUUAUUUAUUAAUAAAUGGGAAUGUAUAUUUUUGCCCGUAGCAAAGACUAGCCCAGAACUCUGUCUGGACACUUCUCCCGGAGUGAAGGAUUUGUUCUUUAUUAGUGCAAUAAUUAACCUAAUUCUGAGAACUUGGCUCUGCUGUGGAAAGUGUGUGCGCUCUUCUGUGACGCCAGCCAUUGUGUGCCCGGGACCUGAGGGAGGCUGAGCUCCCCGUGAGUGCUCGGUGCUGCACCCCAGGUGUCCCCCAGCUCCAGGUGUCCACCAGCCCCCUAUGUCACCCUAGCCCUUGUGGGGCUGCUGACAGAGGCCCUGGGGCCAAGGGCAGAGAGAUUUGCAGGGAGGGUGGAUGCAAGCAUCGUUCCAGUGUGAGCAUCGUUCCCAAUAUCCAGGUUUGCUGGUGGAGUCAGCUCUGGUCCAUGGGAGCCCUCCAGACUCCUUGCUUACCUCCCUGUGCUGUGGUGCUCUCCCCCAUCACCCCUCAAAAGUAUGGGUGAAGCCACCACCCCAGGAAGGGACCCCAGAAUCCUCCAGCAUCUCCAGCGUCGGUGGGCGGCUGCUCGGGGUGUCCUGGUUUGCAGCCCACAUCAGGAGAUGCGUUGGGCUGGUUCCUGCUGGGUGUCUUUUCCCCUUUUUACUUAUUAUUUUAUUUUCCACUGGGAUGGCGAGGUGCUUGUGGCAGUACCAGCAACGUCCUGAGCCCCUUCCCCAGCCCCGUUUCCAAAGGGAUGUGGGUGCUCAGCAUGGGCACACCAGAGCCCAGCAGUCCCCACGCACAGCCAGGACAGGACACCUGUAUUUUGGUGGCAGGAUGGCUUUUUGUUGCUUUGCCACUCAAAGGAAGCUCCUUGCAUUAAUUAUGUUUCCAUGUAGAAAGCUCUGGCCUGUCAUACUUUUUUCUUUUUUUUUUUUAGCUCUGUUUUUCAUAAAGUGGUCCUAAAAUGACACGGAAAGCAGCUGCUUAAGCAAUUGUGCCAAUUAAUGGGUCUCUGAAAUUAAAACGCCUACACAGUCUAGAUGAGAUUUCUCCAGGAGGGAAUUCAGCAAUUGUCUUCAUGAUAAUCAGGCUUGACUUGUCUUAGCACACAUUAAUAAAAAAGCAAAUGCAUUCAAAGAGAUGCCCUUUAGUGGAGAAUAUCCACAAUAUAGUAAUGAGUCUCCAAAAAAAAGGGGGGAGGGGGAAAGAGGAGGGAUGCUGAGCUGGCUCCAGCCUUUUCUUGAGGGAGGGAGACUGGUAAUUCAUGUCAUGGACUCGCUGGAUUCUCUCGCCUCAGCUGCUGAAUGUAAAUCUCUGCAUGUUGUUGGAGCAGAGCGGUGGCAUCGGCUGCAUGGGAAGGUCAACAUGGGGUUUGAACUGGAGCAGAGACACUGGAGCUGUGGAGACGGGGGCUCGACUCGGGGCUGUGGGGAGCAGCAGAGAUGUCAUAUGUUAUUUCCCCCUAUAACAAUGCCAUCCAGCACCCAGUCCUGCCCUCGCCCUGCCCCAUGUGUCGGGACAGGCAGGUCAAGGCUGCCGGCACAGCCCUGCAGCACCUGCGCUUGUGUCAUCUGCAUGGGGUUUGUAGUUCCAGUGUAGAGUUGCAGUUGACUGACAAGGGGUUUUGCUCCAUCUGGAGGAGCUGAACAUCACGGCCACCAUCCGUGCUCAGGGGUUUUCUGGCAUCUCCCUUGCUGGAUUGCCACCGAAGGAGCUUGUGGCUCCGCUGCAGAAAACUCACCGCAGCAAAUGGAGUGAUGUCGAGGAGGCGUCUGGUUGUGGAACAGGAGCUCUCUGCUCUGUUUGGCUCCUCGUGACUUUGUUUUUGGCUGAGGAUGGGAGAAAAGAGGUGGCUGGGCUCUUUGGUGGCUGUUCCUGCAGCACGUGGUGGUGAUGACUGCUGUGUUUUGGGGGAAGCCAGCGGUGGGGGCGAGCAGGGCAGACACAUGGCACCGGCUGAUGUGGAGCUUGGAUUGCACCCAGGGUCUCCUCGUUCAGGAGCUCCAUGUCAGCCGAAAGCCCUGGGAGCUCUUGGCCUGACAGCACAAAUCCGCAUGGGGUGAAUGGCCGGCUCACCCAGAGCCUGGAACACGGGUCCUUUCUCAGCUCCUGCAUCCUUGAGGAUGCUAGAGUGCCCUGAGGGGAGGACAGGUCCCAUCGCUGUGCUGGGGCCUGAAUUUGUGGCGGGUGCUUUUGCUGUCACCAUUAAUGUCAGGUGUGAGAAAGGAAACAUUGUGAGUAGAGCAAGAUGUUUAUUUUCCAAGUUAACAACAAUAAUAAACUCUGUUAUUGCAGCAGCAUUUUCAGCAUGGUCCCAGAGGUGUGCACGAUGAUUGUGAUAGUCCCGGGAUUUUUGCAGCAAAAAUGCCUUCCUGGGGAGGCCCUGGCACUAAAUCCAGUGGCAGGAGGCCAGAAUGGGUGGUUUUAUCCUGCACCAGAAUGCGAUGAGUUUCCCACAUCCCUCUCCAGUGCAUCAUUACGCUGUUUUUGGAAACAGGGACUUGCAUUAGUGGUAAGUGGCCACCCAUUUUCCCCCAAUGUAAACAAGGUUUAGGAGCAUAAGUUAAACCAUCCGGCUCUAUCCUGUGAUGAUUAUUUGGGUUGUUUUGUCCAAGAGCAUAAUCUGGAUGACAAGGCAAACACCAGGCAACAUGAGCAUCCACACAGAUGUCCCAUGCCCACAGCAGUGUCCUGGCAGGGUCCCAGCAGGGACCAUGGCCAUGGACAAGCUAUGGGUGCUGCAGCCUGUGUGCUCAGUGCAUGCGUGUGCAAGGUGCGUGUGUGUGCUCAGUGCAUGCAUGUGCAUGCCUGCAGGUGCGUGUGUGCUGCAGCCCGGGGAACCUGCAUGAUUAUCCCUGCGUUUAGCACCUCGUUUCCUUCCUCUCUUAAUUAACUGCUCUGGUAGUAGAUCUCUGUUUAUGCUUGUUCGGUGGCUGCAGCCUUCUGACAGUUUGUCUGGAAAAGUCUUCUUCCCCCCAUCCCUUGUUAUUUUCAUUUCAGAAAUUUAAGAGGCUUUCAGAACAAAAGUAUUUAGAGCAAACACAAUCUUUCUGUAUGCAAAAUUGAUGAAAGAAAAAGACUUACAGCUCUAAAAUCCACUGCUGCUGCUUAUAUAUGAAAGCAAAGCCUUGAGUUCCCAUAAAACUAAUUAGAGGGGGACUGGCAGGAGCAGCUGCUGAGCUGGAGCCGGUGCCAGGGUCCCUUUGGCUGUACCCCAACUGUCCCAUCCCUCGCUGUCCCCCAGGCUGCCCCAAGCCGCUCCUGCAGUUCCUGCCCUCACCCCGGCUCUCCCAGGGUCCCGGUCCCACACCCCUUGGGCACCCAUGGGGCGGGCAGGGGCUGCCAGCUGUGCCCAGGAAGACAAGGGAUCCCACGAAGCAUUCAUUAUAUUUUUAAAAUCCUCAACAGUGUUUUAUAUUUUCAGAUCCAUCCUGGUUUGAGCAAAUAUUUUGAUUGCAACUAAGUGAGAACAUAACAAAUGCUAUUUAGACAAAAGCAACACAUUCACUAUUAGUUUUAGACAAUUCGUCCUAAUAUUGUUUUGAAUCAUGCAUUUAUUCCCCCAUAAAGAUUUGAUUACUUUGCUUGUUUCAUUAAUCUUUAUUUGUUUAAUCAUCUGCUAAAUCUGUUUAAUCAUUGGUUUAAGUGGAAAGAUUACAUGAAGAUAUUUAGUGCUUAGUGCCAGAGCUGCCCUGACAUCUCAUCCAGCACUCUUGUAUCGCUUUUUAUUGCCCUGGGUCUUUGUUUUGUGCAGCAAGACCCACCUGGCUCCCUCCCACUGGGAUUUUCCCGACUUGUCCAUCAUUUCCCAGCGCUGGGUGGCCAAACCAAAGAAGAAAACCCUCCAACCUGCCUCUCCACUGUGUGGCAAAUGUUUGCCCCGUGCUGGGGCUGGAGCUGGGAAGGCGGGGUCCCCAUCAUCCCACACCAGUGUUUGUGACACUGGGUUUUGUGUCAUGAAAUCAACUCCCCUGAAGCAGAGGUGCAGCUGGAGCUGGGCACCAGCAGCCUCUUUACCAACAAUGUCUAUGAUUCCAGGAUUCUGUGAUCAGGGGAAUUCAGAGACCUUAAGCUUUGCGGGCAGAAAUGGGUAAUUGCGGCUGCAGCAGCACUUGCAGGUUAAAGCCACCUCUAAGCCUGAAAACAGGAAUAUGUCUUCAGGCAAUUUAGCAAGGACACUCAAGGCAGUAGUUUAAUAAUGAUUUUCUUUUUUCCCUGGCUUAUUCCCUCUCCCGGUGGUUCAGCAGCCUUGCUCUGCCGCCCGGCCUGCUCCUCUCUGCCCCCGGCCACGAGAAGGGAUUAAAAUUUCAUGUGAUGGCCGUGUUUUCCGUCGCAGAGCCUGGGUAGGAAACAUGCAAUAUUUCACCAGCCUUCGUGUUUGUCUGCUCCUGUAAUCUGCAGCCUCAAUCACAGGUGCGAUGUUUAUGAAUUAAUAAAAAAAAAAAAGAUCAUGGACAGUCCGAUGGGACUUGGGGAGAAACAUGCACAGCAGAAUUUUAAUGAGCGUGGUGGGGAAUUUCAGCCCCCAUGGUUUUGCUGGGGGGGACACUUCUUUUUCCUUUUUCCCCCCUUUUUUUCUCCAGCAUCCCUGUGGGGUGCACGGUCCAGCCUCCCUCGGCCACCCACCGGGCAGGGCUGCGCCUGCACCAGCACUAAUUGCACCGACCAUCCGGCAAUUUGUGGUGUGCACCGGGCGCUGGUGGAUCUUUUAUGGCAGAUCUUGUACUCAUUACUGAAUAAUUCAUCGUUGCAUUAAUGUCUUCAGAUCCCAUCGCGCUCCCGCUCUCUCCUCCUCUCACUGCUUCGCUCUGCCCACUUGGGAAAACUUUAUUAUGCCUUGCUCUGACGACAGAGUAUACAGAUAAAAGAUAAUUGCUUGGCUUGACUCCCCCAUUGAUAUGAAAAUAAGAUUUAAAUUAUUCACUUCAGUUUAAAGGUUAGUUGAAGGUUAUUACAGGGGAUAAAAAAAUCACUCUUCAUAACAUUUCUGUUGGAGAUGAGACAGGUUUGAAAGGCCUAAUUUGCACGGCAGGCCGAGGCGGCUUGUUGUGAAUAAACCCAGAGACCCUCAAGAGAUUUUAAUCGCCAAGAAGUCAAUUAUUUAUAAGCAAAUUACACUUAGCUGCUUGGAUAUAUACAACACAGUUAGGCGUGAAUAGGGACAAAAUGGAACCUAUAUAACUUAAUAUACCUCCCAUUGCACAAUAGCGAAAUCUUUACACGGUGCUUUCCUGUUGCUAAUCCCAGCUGGAAUUUAAUGAGCGUCUGAAUUUCAGAGUGGGGCCUGAUCCUGGCACCCUUGGACUCCUGUUUAUUUUAUUCUUCCCCUUCGGUCUCUCGGCUUCCAGCCUCCGUCUCCAGCUCCCUUUUGUGUUGCCGCCUUGUAAAUGGAAUUAAAGGAUUGUAAAUUUUCCUGCCGAGCAAUAGGUCUUGAAAAGCGGGACGUCACUUUGCCGAGCGAUCGGCUUUAUCCAAGCUUUCACUUAAUGCUCUUUUAUGUAGGAGACUAUUUUAGCGUCUGGUGCUGGGAGAGUGGCAAAUCUCCUGUACAGAGUUAAUAAUUAAUGCCGUGGCGGCUUCUGGAAGCAGGGCUGUAUUUCAGCAGUGGGCUCGCCCUGACCGCAGCACUCUCUAUUAAUCAUCUGCACUUGCUGCUAUGCAAAUAAAUAGCUAUGGAAAACCAAAAUCGCUGCCCACUGUGCAAUGGGAUCCCAAGCCUCCGCAUAUAUAAUACAGCUGCAUAAACCACUAUUUCUGUAUGACUAUAUGUGUGUAAAGUAUACGUGUAAUAGAGAGAUUAUGUAUUCAGGCUUCAAACAUAGCUGCAUUAAAAAGACAUCUACAUCUUCCAGUUGGAUGCCUGCAUUAAUACAGGGAAAUGCAAAUGCGUUCUGCACCCCGGGGUGAGGGAGCAUUGCUUUGGAGUGGGGCACAGGGCUGGCAGCUCCUGCCCCCAUCUCCAUCAACGCUCAGUUCCCCUUGUAAAUCCCUGCGCUACCCGUAACCCCCAGGGCCGGGGCUCCCCAGGGCUCUCAGUCACUGUGAUUCACUGCUGGACCCCGCUUUUGGUUUAUUAUUGCUCUGCAAAAGUCUGGAUGGUGAGGGCUGAGCGCUCGCCUUGGGCUGAAAUUAUUUGAGUUUUGGGGCAACUCCAGCUGAAAUAAUAUAUCCCUGUCCUGCAGUGUAUUUAGAGGAAAAAAGGACUUUGCUUUGCCUCUGCACAGCCCCGGCGGUGGUUUGUGAUGGCUCUACAGAGCCACUCCAACCCCAAAGCUGUCCCCUGGGAGGGAUGCGCCUUGCUGGCCUGGCUGAGAGGCAGCCAGCCCUGGCUGAAUUAAGGCCUUUGGAUAAUUUUCCUAUGGAACCCCCCCCCUACAGGGCAGCAGCUUCUGUCGUGGGGGUUCCUACAGUCCUGGAGCUCCUCCACCUCCGCAGCCCUGGUGCAUUGAUGGUACCUGUUACCCUUCAGGUGGGAAGGACCUCCAUGUGCUGUUCAACUAUUGUUAAAAAAUUAAAAUCUUUCUAGCUAAGAAGAAAUCCAUACUAAAAUUAAUUACAUGGGUGUUGUGUUCCCUGCAUCCCUGUUGGACAUGACAGCUUUGAUGCGGGGGUUACAACAGCUUUUAGAAAAAGGUGAAAUUAUACCCAAAGACCAAUACAUUUGGCUGGUCCGUGUGCUGUGGCAGCUUUGCCAUUCUGUGCUUGCUUCACCUGGGCAGUGCAAAUUUCACUUUGGGAUUUGAGAGGUUUUUUUAUCGCAGUUUUUUUGUGUAAAAUAUUUGCCAGUCUGCUUUAGUUGUGUUACUGCUUGAUUAGGAUAUUCUGGAUAUUCUGCCUGUUUUUUUCUUAAUGCCACUGGUUUUCAAUGAAAUUGCCAAGUUUUGGCAAUGGAAAGUGUAUGGGCAACAAACUGUGUGGUCCCCGCUGGAUCUAGAAGAUAUUUUGGGUUUUUUUAAACUAGAUUUCUCACACACGUCCUUGGCUGCAGGUUCCUAUAGGUACAGAUUUUCGCAUGUUGCAUGUUAAAAACACAGACUUGGCGUUUUCCAGUGGGAUUUGAGAUGGAAGAAGCAUUGAAAAGUGUCAUCCCUCUUCCCAGAGCAGAUGGUCCGAGUGGCAGCGGUGUCCCCACAGGGACAGGGCUGCUCUGGGGACAGGGCUCUGGUCACCCCCCGCAGUCCCGGGGACUGUCACCGCACAAGUGCUGCUAAUCAGGCAUCUUCCUCGGCAGCACGACCAGCAAGCCUGCGAGCUGUCAGCCGGUGUUAUUUAUGCGUGUGUAUUUUGUUUGAAAUGAGAUGUAAGCAAAGCCCAUGUGUGCCUCCAAUCUCCUUUGUAGCAGAAGAAAGGAAAGAGAGCAGAAUAUGUUUGCAAUCAUGUCUGGCCCUUGAUUUGUAGUUUUGCUCGGUGUCAAGCCGGGGUCUGGGGCGUACCUGCCGCUGCAGCAACGUGGGAGCUGAGCUGUUUCUGUAUGCACAGAGGUGUCGUGUUCCAGUUAAACCCUUUUACCUUUUAUUUAAAAUUCACAGAGGCUUGACAGGUAAUCUCAGGAGCUGGAUCAUUAUGGCAGCCAGAGCUAACCUGUAGCAAAUGAUGCCUUGUAAAUCUCCCGGCUGAAGUAAUGGGCUUUAUUCUGCCUCCCUUUGCUUGUCACCAAGUGGUGGAUGCCCCAUCCCUGGAGACAUCCCAGGCCAGGCUGGAUGGGGCUCUGAGCAACCCAGGCUGGUGAAGAUGUCCCUGCUCAUGGCAGGGGUGGCACUGGGGGAGCUGGGAAGAUGCCUUCCAACCCAAACUCUUCUGUGAUGCUGUGAGAAGCACUGGGAGCGGCUGGUCAUGAGUGGGGAUGCUCCAGCCAGGCUGGAGCAACUGUUGGUGCCAAACUGGGUCCGGCCCCUGCUGUGGGCAAUGUCUGCAAAUCUUACCAGUGCCUUGGGAGGGGGAGGAUGCAAGAUCCUGGGUAAGGCCUGAAUUAAUAUGAAAAUCCCCAAAGUCAGAGUCCCACUGAGCACAUCAGCCCUCAGCAAGUUUCAUACAGAAGAGGUGAACACACAGGCUGCGAAAGAUCUUUACAGAUACCCAUAAUAAUAGUAAUAAUAAACAAUGAUAAAAAUUAUUAUAUAAAUAUAUAUAUAAAUAUAUAAAUAGAGAAACAGAUUAACAAAUGACCUGCACCCCAGCCCGUGUCCGGCGGUGGAGCUGGUCCUGGCGCGGGCGCUGCCGUGGGCUGUGUCACAGCGGUGCAGGCUGCGGUCUGGGUUUUCGCCCAGCCAUUGCACGGUGUCUGGGCGGGGAGAGAUUAGAGAACUAAUUGGGUGGAAUUGGUGGAGCUGGAAUACAUAUUGAUGGGGUUGUCAGGAUGAUUAUAUUGCUGAGGGCAUGUACAGCUGGGGAGGGAGUGCUUUGAUCUCGCAGAAACCACGUUGCAUCUCCUGUUCUCAUUAUCAGAGGUGUCUUCAGAGCCUCUUUUAAAGCACCCCAAGGUGGCCACCCUGGGGGAUCUGGGAGGUGAAGGAGGGUGAGGGGGCGGGAAGGCUGCAGGGCCAAAAAGUGUCAUUGCUGGACCCUACUCCAGCCAGAAACAGAUGAGAAUCAGCAUCCUGUGCCUGCCCCUGCUACCCGGGACAUCCCGCUAUCCCCGGGGAGUUGCUCUGCCCAUCACCUGGGGAAGCUGCGAUAGCACCAGCCUCCCUUCACAGCCAGAGGUGCUUUCCUUGCUGCUCCCUCACCUCCAGCACCGGGUAUCAGCUUCCCUGGUGCUAAGUGCCCAUGAAAUGAAAUACUCAUCAGGGGAAAAAUUGUGUGGGAGGUUUAAAUGGGAGUGCCCAACACGGGCACCAUCCCUGGGUGUUUCUGGGGGAGGAGGAGGUGCCAGCAGUGCUUUCCGCCUCCCAAAACCCCGCAGCCUUAGGGGAGCCUGGAGCAGAAAAUACUGCCCAGGAUUUUAGCGGCUCGUGCUGAGGCCAGGCCCAUCGUACUCCCCCGGCAGCCUUCCCUCGGUGAACAGAGGGAGAAAAAUUCCUCUUAAAUCAUUCAGUGGUUCUCUAAUGUAUUCACAAUGUGGACUACAGAACAAGAUCUGAAACACUCUUUUUUCCAGUAAGACUAUUAAAUGGUGACACUUUGACACCAGAAAGAAGUAUAUGAGAUUAAAAAGUAAAAACUGCAUAGAAAUCUAAGUGCCUUCACAUAGAGUUAGAAUAAAAAUUGCUGUUAGGAGCAUUAAAAUAGAGUACUUGUCAGGAGCGACGGAUUCCAGAGACGUGCCUGCUGGUUUCUGUGGCAUCGAUGCAUGUGGUUUCCUCUGAGGGAAAUUACAGAGCAUUUAGAGGAGGCAGAGGAAGCACUGAGGUGAGGAUGAAGGUGCAGAGGGAGGGGUGGGGCCAUGUUCCCGGACCAGGGCUACAGCCUCUCCUCUGGGGCGAUUGGGUGGCCGAGGGACCAGGGGGGUCCGGCGGAGGCCGUUUCAUCUGCCCAUGACAUUUGAAAUGCCCUGGAGGCAGCUGGUGGAUGAAAGCAGGAGACGAAGGAGCCGGCUUUUCUUGGCACGAUUAAUCAUUUAUUAGCUAAUCAAGAAUGCUCGCAGGAGAUGAGGAGAGCAAGAGAAGCUCGUUUCUAAUAGGAAUUAGUUAGCUUACGGUUAUUUUUUCCCCUUGCUCUGAUUUCCCAAGGAAAUGAUGCUUGCGCAGCUCUGCUUCUUCAGCAGUCCCAAUUCCCUGCACCCCCGGACCCUCUUGCAGCCCGGCUGGCUGGGGCAGGUCCCUGACCCAGAAAACCACUUUGUGUCUGAAAUUCGCAGCACAGAGCAGCAAAGAAGCAGAGCAGGGGUACUGGCCUACUUCAGAUUAAAUUUCUGCAGUUGCCAGCACGGGGAUUCUGGCCUGUGUGCUGCCUUGGGCAGCACAAAGAGCUGCUGGAGCCCCGUGGACCCCCGACUCUCCCCCAAACACAGUGGGGAGAAAGGGCACCAUGCUCAGCUGACCCCAAAGGCUGCUGGGGAUGGUGAAGCUGUUCUGGCACUGCUGCCGGCAAUCAGACAUGUACCAAGCAGGACUGAGUCCUGCUUGGUUACGGUACCGUUCUGCCCAGCAGGAACCUCUCUUAAUUGCAGCUGGAGCUUGCAGCAUGGGGCAGAGCAAUCGCACCGCCAGCCCUGGUCGGGAGAGACGCCUUGACAAGCCAAGGCAAAUCUGCAGCUGUUGGUGCUGCUGAGCAGCGAUGGCGCUGACGGAGCCGUGCACGGGGUUUGUGCUGGUGCGGGUUGGCAGGACUGUGUCCUGCGGUGCAGGCAUGCAGGGAGGGCAGGCGGCAUCGGUGUCCAACAGGCACAGCGCUCUCUGUGUGAUACACACAACAAAAGGAGACUGGAGUGGGUAUGGAGAUGGUCUCACCCUUGUCAUCUUGGGGAAACCACAUCUUGGAGGGGUGCUGGCACAGGAAGCCUUCGGUGCUUUGCACCUCCUGUCAAGGUCAAGCCUGGGGCUGCAGCAGUCGGUUUGGCUGGCAUAUUCCCAUCUGGGAUGCUUCUCCAUUGUGUCAGCAUUAUUUCUUCAUGCCCUACAGACAAACAUGUCAUGGUCUGGAAGAGAGAAUAGGGAGAAAUGGGAGAGGUUUGUUGUCAGGAGCUCAAGUGGGCAGAGGCAGGAGGAGCUGGAGGACCAGAAGGACCAGGAGAAGGACCAGAAGCAGCUGCCCCGGCCCUAGCUGCAGCCCAGCCUGUGCAUGGGAAGGUGGCCAGAUCUGGACCCGCUUGCCCCACUGCCCCACACAUCCCUCCAGCAUCCCUGUCCCACCACGGAGAGGGGGACAGGAGGGACAGGGGAGCUCAGGGCUACACAAACCCCAUGAAAGGGCUCCCUGGGCUGAGAUGCUGCUGGCAGAACCUGGAGCAGGCAGGGGCAGGAUUCAUGCUUGUUCUGGAGCAGAGGGCUUCCCUGAGCUCUGUACCAGCCCUCAGUGCCGGGACAGACUUUCCAAGUUGUGGUUCUCUGGAAAGGUGUUUUGGGCAUCAAACCCGGAGCUGUGCCCCAUGGCAGUUCCACAGCAUUGCAGGACAUAGGUCUCCAACGGGGCUUUCCUGUGGGGCUCAAGGGCUGUGGGCAGCCCCCCCGGCUCAGGCCCUCUCCCAGGAGCAGCAAAGUAAUUAGUGACUUUUGUUAAACCUCCACCUUCUGGAAUUGUGGUAUGUGAAAAUCUCCUCUUCUUCAGAAGAGAGUCAGAUUUCAGCCUUCAUGGUUUUAAAAAAUGAACACUAGUCUCUCAAACUAAAUAAAAAUAAGACAAAAUAUAUUGCAUUUUAAAAUCUUGUGACAUUUUGGGGACUGACUCAUGAUUUUUGAAUGUUUGGAACUGGUAACGCUCCAAUCAAUUUUGCUGCUUCCUUGGAUGAUUGCUUUCAGAGAGGUUUUAAUUCUACUAUAAAUACUUGAGCUUUGCAACAGCAGCCUCAGUCAGAUAUGCAAUAACACCCCGUUCUGCAUUUCAGGUAAGGCUUUAAACUAAAUUAAAUCUCCUCAGUAUAGCUAAUCAGAGAUUAGCUUUGAUCACAGUUUGUUAGCCCAGGCCAAUCCUAUUCAAAUCCUCUGGCAGACCUAAUAUCAAGAGUGCUUUGUCCUGCGCUUACAACGUGAAGCCCAGUCCCCAAGGCAAAACAGAGGAGCUUUUUUCUCUUCUACUUCUAGCUAGUUCUCUACAUGCAGUGAAACGUGUCUCUAGUGCGGUCAAUGGCUCCCGCUGCCCCGGGCCGGGUGCUGGUGGGUGUCCUAUGCAUGCAGCUGGCCUGGCAGGCACUGGCUUUGGGGCUGAUCUCAGAUUGUGCCAGGGAAGGUUCAGACUGGAUAUUAGGAACAAUUUAUUCCUGGAAAGGGCUGUCCAGGGCAGUGGUGGCGUCACCAUCCCUGGAGGGGUUGAACAGAUGUGGAGAUGAGGUUCUCAGGGACAUGGGGUGGUGCCAGCGUUGAGGUAACAGUUGGACUCAGUGAUCUUUGGGGUCUCUUCCAACCAAAGCAAUUCUCUGAUUCUACCAGCUCCCAGCCAUUCCUCUGGGCUUUUCUCCCUUCCCCCUGCAUCCACCAAGGCAGUGAAAAUCGUACUGGGAACGGAAACUGGAGUUGGGUUGUUUUGCUAGAGCCCGGCUAUAGAGUACCAAGAACGAAAUCAUGUCAAGAUCCUCGAGUCCAGAUUUAGUAAUCCUCUUUGCUGCUUUCUACUUUAUUCAGUAUGUUUUAAAGCAAUGGAAUAUGGUCUCUUUCUCUCAGAGCACAAGUGGUGCAACAGCAGAGUGAAAUCAGGCAGGACCCUGCGGCUGAGGUUGCUUCCCAAGGGCUCCCAGAGACGUAGGGGUGUGCAGAGGCCGCUGUGUUCCCUGUAGCACAUGGCUGCGCUUGCAUGCACGGACACGCGUGUGCUUGUGUGUCUGCUGUGUCCGCACAGUGCCCGUCCUGCAUCUCCCUUCAGUGAGAGCGCUGCUGUGGCCUCUGCCAGCCGGAGCAGCACUGGGGACAGCGGCCGGGCUCAUUUUGCUGAGGUGGCCACAGAGGACGCAGCGUUCAGGGAUUCUUGCCGUGAGCAUCCACCAUCUCCUGCAUCCAGUGCACAACACUUGCUGCCCUCCUGUAUUGAACAGAGCCAACCCUUUCUCCUGGUUAGAAAUGUCCUCCGUAGUUGUUCUUCUGUAUUAUUUAUAGCCCAGUAAGUGUCUGAGAUCACAAACGCUUACUUAGCUACCUAGCAGAAUUCCUGUUUGAAACAAUACAGCUUGACUGUUGCUAUUGAUUUUAGGUAAGAGUUCCUUUGAGCCAACUGGUAUUUUAAGCAAUCAUUUCUACAGCAGAUGACAUAACUCCCCCAGCAUCAGUUUGCCCUAAUGGGCCUGGUAUUAUUCAUGUGCUAAUUGAUUGGGCAUGGAAAGGAGAAAAGCUGAAUUCACUUGCGAGGUGAUUUUUAUGGCCAGGCUCAUAACAGAGGUAAUUUACUGAAAACGUUCAGUCCCUCUCGGGUUAUGUACCAUCAUCUGCGUUCCUGCACUCCAUCUCUGUGCCACGCUUCAAUCAGCAAACCAGGCUCCGGUUGGGGCAUCUGAGGUAAAGUCCCCAAGGAGUCACCAUGACAGAAUAUUUCUUCCUUGUGUGUCGAAGUGAAUGUGGAGAUCAGGGAUGGCACAGAGAGACCUGCUGGGUCUGCCUGGGGAGUCCCGACCACGCGGGACUUCGUGCUCCAAAUCCCACCCCCAGGGAAGGCUCUGGAACAGCUCUGAUUGUCCUGUUGAAACCUUCUGUUUCAGUGCAGAAUAUUAAUUUCUGCAGCAGUCAGAUAGAGUUUCUUCCCUCAAACGUUUAUGCCUCUAUUUCCUGUGCACAAAUCCGUCGGGACGGGGAAAUCAAGGCAAACCCUUCACGUCUGCUGUUAAGAAACCUGGAAGUUUAACAACCCCAGGAAGGUGGUUAAAACUGUGACUUGAGCUCUCAUCCCAAAGCAGCCCCUGGAAAGCCCCAGAUCUGCCCCAUGUUUCUGCCCAGGUGAUGCUCAGCUGUGAUGGGAACAACCAGGCAAUGGGCAGCAACCCUGUGCAAGGACAGGUGCUUUCAGGCAGUCAGGGGUAUUCUCUAACAGGUGAGGACUGGUGCCUUUGAAGUCAUCAGCUGCCGGCCUGAAAAAUCAGAACUGGAGCCUGGAGUAUCACUAGAUCUUGGAAGAGAUGUCAGAAACUGGUCCUCGUUAUCUCGCCAAAGACUGAUGGGUUUCUAAAGCUGACAAGGUGAGCUUGUGUACGUGUAACGGCAUGUAAUGUCUAGCUAACCUGAAAUUGCUGAAAUAUUCCCAGAGCUAGAAGAAAGCCAGUCAGUCCUGUAGAAAAAACAACAAAAACAGGCUUGUUCCGGACUCUGCUGGAUCACACUGUUGAACCAGAUCAGAUGCACUGUGAAAUUUUGAGUAGCCCUUUAAUUGGGAUUGAGGCCAGGAGGAAAAUGCAAAGCUAUCCCCAUCCAUCCCAGUUAUCCCCAUCCACUCCAGAGUUAUCCCCAUCCAUCCCAGCAGGGCAGUGUGACGGAUGCUGCUGCCCUGGGGUGACACUGGCUGCAUCAGCAUCUGGCCAGUGCAGAGAAAAAGUGCAUCUGUCACCACGUGCCUGAGUGGGGACCCUCAGCAGGGACCGGCCGUGACUGCAUUGUGCUUAUCUUUUGGAAGGGGAGUCCGGAGGCCUGGGGAAGUGUCAGGAGCUCUGGGAGGUCUGGCCUCAUUCCCAGGGUCUGCAGGGAGCCCAAGGUGGGAUUUCCCUUCUCUUGGUGCUUCCUGGCUUUGCAGAAAGAAGGAAAAUAGUGAAGCAAGGCGAGGGAGGUGGCACAGCACAGGCUGUCACCCCCUUGUCACCAUGAGCAGCUCCGUGUCCCUUGUGUCCCUGUGGGUGGCCCCUGGGGGAGGGUGCGGGGGCUUGCCCAGUACAGGGCCAGUCACUGCCACAUGGUGGGGCAGAGAGGCCCUUGACAGAGGGUGACAGGAGGGACAGGGCCACCCAAGGCCCCAUCAAGCCCCCUAGGACAAGGGCAUCCCUGGUUUGCGGUGCAGCAUCCUCUGCCCUGACCCUCCUGCCUGCAUCCCCUGAUCUGGUUAAUGCUUCCAGCCAUCCCUUCCUCCUCCACUUCUUCCUCCUCCUCCUCAGCCUCACUCCCCGCUCCAUCCCUGCCAGCUGCAGGGACCAGAGCGCUGGGGGCUGUGGGGCUUGGCCACCCUGGGGGGAGCCCUGCACCCUGCAGCACCUGCUGUGUCACCUCCACUCCCUGCAGCACCCGCUGUGUCACCCCUGCACCCUGCAGCACCCGCAUUGUCACCCCGCAGCAGCCGCUGAGUCCCCAGGCUGUUAUUUGUCCAGCUGGGCUAUUUGCAUCCUGCCUGGGCUGCACCACGAGUGUCUCCAGCCACCAGGGAGCUGUUUGCUUUGCUGCGACCUUUGUAUCUGUGGAAGAGACUCCAGACAAGGUCAGCUUUAAUAACAAGGCUGUUUUCCUGCGAUCGAUACGGAUGCUCAGCUCCCUCUGCACCGUCUGCACAUCGUGGUCACUCCAUCAGAUGGUGUCACCAGCAGAGAUGACGUUCAAGACACAGCGACUCCGAAUGCUGAGUGGAUGGAAGUUUUAUUGCUGCCAGCGAAGGAAUUUUCGUCACCUUUUAAUUUGGUCCAAACUAAUCCCUUCCUCAAGCUGGGCAAACAGUUUGGCUUGGCUGCCCUCCUGUGACUCAGCAGCAAAAUAUUUAAUGGAUCGAUAACCCCGCGGCUGAACCCUUCGCAGUGCUGUCAAUGAGGCUGUGUGCUAACAGUGCCAUCGAGACACAGCUAUUUAAUUUGGGGUGAAUUGUGUAAUUCUGAUACCGUCUUGCACUGCUUACAAUAAGUUGUUUUGAGACUUCAGAGCAUUCAAAAAUCUACUUUUCUUAAGAGAUUUCCAAGACAAACCUACCUUCAGCAGAAAAAAUAAAAACAAAAGCAAAACAAGAAACUAAACAAGAUGUAAAAUUCAAUUCUGAAAGGCCGUUUCUUUGCUAUGCAUCAGGAGACCAUGGCUCUUCAUAGGUGUUGUCCAGAAUUAAAAUUUCGGUAGCAAUGGUUGUAAAAAACAAUGCCAGGUUUAUGAGGCUUUUUUAUUUAAAUGUGUUAUUUCCUUUAAGGUGAAUUCAAAGCAAACAGUACUUGCUGUCUCACGCUGUAUCUGUGUGAUGCAGGUGAUGCGUGGGGAUGCUGGCAGUGUCCUGCUCUGAGCAUCCGCUGCCAUUAUCUGUGUUUGAACAGAGGCGAAAACCAAGCAAACCCAGCAAACGGUCAGAGAAGAGCUGUCUGGGAUCAAAUCAAACCAGGGAAAGCUUGGAUUUAUGGAGGGAAACGGCCAGCCCCUGGGCCCUUCCACAAACAUCUGGUGCGCGACUCAGCAGCAUCCAGCCAGCGGAAUUACGAGCGGGAGAGCGAGACCUCGGUGUGAUUCAGGCUGAACAACCACAAAUGGUUUGCAGUUGCGGCGGGCCGGGCUCCGUGCUGGGGCGGCUGCCAGUGCGGCCCCGCCGGGGGGAGGAGGAUGCUCAGAAACGCGGCCAAGAGUCCUCCGCACUGGCUUCCAUCGUACCCGGGACACGGAGAUGGGACCCCGGGACCAUCCUUGCGGCCUCGAGGAGCCCUGCACUGCCAGCACGAUGCUUUCCUGACCUAGUUUGUUGUUUUGGUUUUUUUUAAAUUUUGUUUCCUUUUUCACAGAUGAGCGCUCCAUCUGCAAGAGAUUGCUUCCUGACAUGAAAAAUUUACUUUUUAAUGGGCCAAACUGCUGCAGUUUCUAAGCUGGAUUCAAAAUAACCUCUUAGCACAUCACUCUAAAGGGAUCUCCAGCCAUCACCCAUAAAACUGAAACACAGUUUGUACUAAAAAGCCAUUUACAAGCCA